rnacentral:lncRNA from 1 species
GAGUAAAAUUGCCGGUCUAAAUGCCACUUUGGACGGUCUUGUUUUCGGCACAAAGCAUAAAUAUAUGUGAAAUCACUAAAAAGUUAAAAAGAAUAUAAUUUUGGACCCAUAAUUUCAAAAGUAUAAUGAGUUCACAGUAAGAAACUAAAGUUAAACACGUGAUUUUAGAACCACCUCUUUACAAUAGUGCACCCAUCCUCUUGAAAUCCUGGAUCCGCCUAUGAGGUUGCGUAUAAUAGACAAUUAUGGUUAGGUCAUUCACCGGACUCCGCGCAUAGUGAGAGCUUAGUGUAUUAGGCUGCCCUUUACUAGAAUUAAUAAAUUAAAAAAUAAGACAGGUUACGCUAUUAUAGCAGUUUUGAAGUACCAAGUUCAUCUGAACCUAAUAUUUUUUUUAUGCGAAAGCAUAAUUUAUGGGUAAAAAUAAUUAAAAUUCUAAUAAAUAAUAGAUAUGAACCCAUAGUUUUAAAAAUACAACGAAUUUAAUGCUAAGGCUAUUUAAUGCUAAAAACCUUAAAAGUUAAACCUAUAAAGUUAAAAUCCUAAAUUUGCUUUUUAAUAGAUAUACAUACAUUGAUGUAUAAUACUUUUGUACAUUCUCUCUUUUUUUUGGUAAUUAAAAGGUUGUAUUAAUCACCAAAGAUAUUUCAGUACAAAACCGUAGCGUAGCUAUUACACAGCUGACUAUCCUAUCUAACUUCUAUAUGAACUAUCACUAUACCUAUCCCUCUAUUUACAGAAGAAAUUGCUGAAGCUGUAUUUUCAUCUUAGGGUUACCUCUCUAUAUGAACUAUCACUAUACCUAUACCUCUAUUUACAGAAGGA